GAGCCGCGGGCGCCGCCACAGCCGCGGGCAGAGACGGACCCGAGCGCCGACCUCCGCCUCCUCAUCCUGACAGCGGGAAAUAAGCACUUUGUGACCUUGGGAGAGUCAUUUAACCUCUUGGAACCUUCAUCAGUGCAAGGCCUAAUAAAAGCACGGUGACAGCUGCUGAGGAUUCGGCAAGAUGCAGUGCCUGCACUCUACUGAAGAGGAGAAAUAGUUAUGUGGGAGAUACUGCCUUUACCUGGGCCAGAGAGCCCUGUAUUUUAGAGGCUCUUCACACACGCUCCACCGCCACACCUCUACCCCAGAGCAAGGGGUCCACAGUCUUCCACUUCAGGACAAGUUUUGGGCACCAGUGACCCCAGGAUGCCUUUCCUUGAUGGCUGAAGCUGUGGCCUCUUUCCCAGGUUCCUCCUCUCUAGGACUGCCUGGGUGUUGCCCAAAGUGCCGGAGGACAACUACGUUUUGGAGAGGUGGCAUAGCACUUUUGGACAUAUUAGCCGCCAUGCCCACAGAUCCUUGGUGGUGUAGGACAGAGAUCAGAAAAGGAGACAGGUGAGCCAGGGGUCAGUGGCGCCACCAGGGUCUGUGUUCCCCUCACCUCCUUACUCAAGUACAUAUAUCCCAGGAG